rnacentral:snRNA from 1 species
UUGCAUGCAUCGUGCAAAGGAAAACUGGAAGGAUGCCAGGAUGAUUAGCACCUCCCCUGCACCAGGAUGACAUGAAUUCGUGAAGCUUUUCAUAUUUUU